rnacentral:rRNA from 1 species
ACGAACGCUGGCGGCAUGCCUAACACAUGCACGUCGAACGCGACCUUCGGGUCUAGUGGCGCACGGGUGCGUAACGCGUGGGAACCUGCCCUUAGGUUCGGAAUAACUCCCCGAAAGGGGUGCUAAUACCGGAUAAUGUCUUCGGACCAAAGAUUUAUCGCCUUUGGAUGGGCCCGCGUUGGAUUAGCUAGUUGGUAGGGUAAAAGCCUACCAAGGCGACGAUCCAUAGCUGGUCUGAGAGGAUGAUCAGCCACACUGGGACUGAGACACGGCCCAGACUCCUACGGGAGGCAGCAGUGGGGAAUAUUGGACAAUGGGCGAAAGCCUGAUCCAGCAAUGCCGCGUGAGUGAUGAAGGCCUUAGGGUUGUAAAGCUCUUUUACCCGGGAUGAUAAUGACAGUACCGGGAGAAUAAGCUCCGGCUAACUCCGUG